CUUUGAGAAGAUCUCAUAGCAGAUAACCUGAUGACUAUGUGCCUAAAGGCUGGUCUCACUCCCACUGUGCCCCUGCAACAGCACUGAGUCUAUUUCCAGGAAGCUGGAGAUCAGAGCUGAGAACUUGCACCAGACCACAAGCCUCGCCGUUGAGAAAGCAAGCCAACUCACAGUUUUUUGGCAUCUCCGAGAGCCUGCAGCAGUAAUUCAGUUUCUUCAAAGGGUUGUGGAUUCUCUCAGCUUUCCUGGUGUGUUCCUGAGGUAGUUCUUGGAGCAAAAGUUCACGAUGUGAGUCUCCACACGCUGCUCUGUCUGUCUGAGCCGGGGCUGCAAGCUACUUCUGCCUCCUAUUCAUCAUCUUAAUCCAAGAAUAUCUCCAUUCUCUUCUUACAUUGUCAUAUUAUAUCAGUAAUGACUUCCCUAAAUGUAUCAACUGGCCAGGCAUUGUGGCUCAGGACCGUAAUUCCAGCACUUUGCAAGGCUGAGGCGGGAGGAUCACUUGUGCUUGGGAGUUCGAGACCAGUCUGGGCAACAUGGUGAGACUCUGUCUCUACAAAAAAUAAAAAGAAAAAUAACUGGGCGAUUACACCACCACAUUCCAAUCUGGGUGACGGAGUGAAACUCUGUCUCAAAAAAAAAAAAAAGAAUAAAUAAGUGUAUCAACUAAGUCUCAUCUUUUCUCAUAGUUUCCUUCAUUUUUCUUUUUGCCACAUUUGAGGAGUUUGCACUGGUUUUCUAAAUGCCAAUGUACAUUCUGGGGCAGAAAGAAGGUGAUCUCUUUCUCUAUGACACCACUUUAACAAGACAGAUUAACAAGAGAAAAGCAUAACAACUUUAUCACAUAUACAUCUAUGCACAGGAGUCACACAUGAUAUAAAAUCUCAAAGAAAAGGCCAAAUGUUUGAUGUUUAUAUACCCACUUCAAUAGGGAGAUGGAAGUAGGGGAAAUGUGCUCAAUUCUUUAGAAGGAUAAAUGAUUACUAGGAAGAAUAAAUGGACAUCAGGAGACAGAAAUUAACUUGUAAAUAAUUAUCUUUAUAAUUGGAAUGAGACUGAAAGGAAGACAUCAUCUGGUGAAAGUCCAUCCAUGUGUGGUUGCAUUCCUCAAUCUUCUUUCUUGCUAUUGGUAAUGAGGUUUCUGGGAGGGGAUGGAAGGCGAUUCUGUUCCUCUUUGGGAGUCCAGUUUCUAGGUAAAUAAGGGAACCUCAGAGAAGAGCUUCAUCCUGUGCUUUGGGAGAGACAAAGGAUUGAGAGAAUUGAGGGAUGGGAUCAGAGAGACCUUGAGGCUCUCUACAUUUGCUCCUUUAGUUCAUCACGUCAAAGCACCAUAUAUUAGGGCAUGAUUUUCUAACCUUAACAAUGUGUAAAUACCGUGUGGUUAAAAGGUGAGAAAAUAAUCUAAUUCUGGGAUUGUGAAUAUUUGUGUAGCCUGGUCUGUUUUCUAUAUAAUGCUGACCACAGCCAAAUUAUGGCUCAGUGUUUAGCAUUGGCCUUCUUGAAAAACCACAUGAUAUACAGAAUCUGUCCAAGGCAUAGAAAUAGUAGAAAAUGUGAAAAUCACCCUUACUUGGGGUAUCUCAUAUAAGCACAUUGGGAUUCUCCACACACUUUUAACCAUUAAUUCUUGCUCCAUAUUGGUUUUCUUUACAUUAUUCUGAGCUUUCAUUUGCUAUAAUAGUUCAAGUUUAACACCCCCAAAUAUUGGCAUCUUUGAUACUUGAGUAUUUCUUCUUUAUUUACAACUUUGUACUUACAUUUGAAGCUUGGAUUGACCCUAUUGCUGCGAUUAACCUCACUGCUUUACUCUUCCUAUGAAAACCCCACUAGUUUUUUGGGUUUUUUUUUGUUUGUUUUUUGAGUUGUUAUUGCCUUUUGCCAUUGUGGCUUUUCCCUCCUAAAGAAGUUAUUACAGCAGGUAUGGGCCAGUUUCAUGAACCUGACUUAGCAACAUGCAGGGCUUUGGUUAAGUUAGCAUAUUUUGCAGUGGGGAUGCCUUUGGAACAACUGAUCUUAACUUUAUUUCAAAUUAGGAUGAGCCUCUCCCUAGAGUGCUUAUCAUAAAGGGAAAGCUCUGAUAAAUAGCUGAGAGUCUCUUUCAACUUUUUAUAGCUCCGUCCAAACCAUAAUUAUAAAACAUUAAAAACGUGGAUUUACAAAUUGAGAACGUGGAUCAGAAGAACAUUUCAAAUUGUGCCUCCAGUUAGCAGACAAGAUGGAUUCCCUGUGGCUCAAAAGUUACAAGCAGAACCAAGAGGCCAUGGCAGGGUGAGAGGGCAGUCACAUUCUGUUGUGUCCUUAGAAAGUGUUGCAGAACCUGUUUUUCUGCAACUGAGUCAAAGAACAGUUCCUGAAAAGUACUGCAGCUGGAAAUUUCCCAGCUGACCGCUAGCAAGUCACCUGGAGCCAACCAGCUGACCACCUGGAACCAGCCAAUCAAGAAAGACUGAUGAUAUGGGGCUUAAAGGUCAUCUGGUCCAGACUCUGUUCCUCAUUCCCCUGCCUCCCCUUCCCUGCCCUGCAGUUUUUACCUUCAUAAUCUCCUGCAUUCCAGACCCUCUUCAAAGUGCACUUUCAUCUCCGCAAUCUGCAGAUUGCUUUUAGAAAAUAAAGUUGUAGGUUGACUGUAGUUAAUAACAACUUAAUUGAAUAUUUUAAAAUAAGUUAAAGAAUGUGAUUGGAUUGUUUGUAACUCAAAAGAUAAAUGCUUGAAGGGAAAGACACCCAAUUCUCCACGAUGUGCUUGUUUCAUAUUGCACGCCUGUAUCAAAACAUCUCGAGUACCCCAGAAACAUAUACACGUACUAUGUACCCACAAAUAUUUAAAAUAAU
rnacentral:lncRNA from 1 species